GCUGACUCUCUUUUCGGAUUCAGCCCAGUUGCACCCAAGUGAAAUAAACAGCCUUGUUGCUCACACAAAGCCUGUUGGUGGACUCUCUUCACACGGGCGCAUGUGACAUUUGGUGCCGAAGACCUGAGACAGGAGGACUCCUUUGGGAGACCGGUCCCCUGUCCUCGCCCUCUCUCCAUGAGAUCCACCCAUGACCUCGGGUCCUCAGCCCAGCCAAAGGAACAUCUCACCAAUUUUAAACCGGCGAAGCGAAACCAACAAGAAUGAAGAAGUGGCCAGGUAUGGUGGUGGCUCAUGCCUGUAAUCUCAG
rnacentral:lncRNA from 1 species